rnacentral:tRNA from 1 species
CUAUUUGUAGUUAAAUAUUUUAUAAUUUUGGUUUUGGGGACCUGUGUUUUCUGUUUUUGGAACAAAUAGA